rnacentral:rRNA from 1 species
CCUACGGGAGGCAGCAGUGGGGAAUCUUGCGCAAUGGGCGAAAGCCUGACGCAGCCAUGCCGCGUGAAUGAUGAAGGUCUUAGGAUUGUAAAAUUCUUUCACCGGGGACGAUAAUGACGGUACCCGGAGAAGAAGCCCCGGCUAACUUCGUGCCAGCAGCCGCGGUAAUACGAAGGGGGCUAGCGUUGCUCGGAAUUACUGGGCGUAAAGGGAGCGUAGGCGGAUAGUUUAGUCAGAGGUGAAAGCCCAGGGCUCAACCUUGGAAUUGCCUUUGAUACUGGCUAUCUUGAGUACGGAAGAGGUAUGUGGAACUCCGAGUGUAGAGGUGAAAUUCGUAGAUAUUCGGAAGAACACCAGUGGCGAAGGCGACAUACUGGUCCGUUACUGACGCUGAGGCUCGAAAGCGUGGGGAGCAAACAGGAUUAGAUACCCUGGUAGUCCACGCUGUAAACGAUGAGUGCUAGUUGUCGGCAGGCAUGCCUGUCGGUGACGCAGCUAACGCAUUAAGCACUCCGCCUGGGGAGUACGUCGCAGAUAACUACAAGAAGUAGAGCGUGAGACGUGCGACGACGACGACGAGGGAGAGG